AUGAUUUCUUUUUUCACAUUCUUUUACUUUUUGUUCUUUCGAGAAAGAUAUCGUCCGAUUCUCCUUCUAUUGAUUCUUUUACGAUCGAGAUGUACGAAUCCAUGUAUCUACAUACAUAGAUUUUGUUCAUGGAUUAACGAAAAUGUGCAAGAGCUCUAUUUGCCUCUACCAUUCUAUGAGUCGCUGCCCCCAUGA
rnacentral:rRNA from 1 species